UGUGGGGAAUAUUGGACAAUGGGGGAAACCCUGAUCCAGCAAUGCCGCGUGAGUGAUGAAGGCCUUCGGGUCGUAAAGCUCUUUUACCAGGGAUGAUAAUGACAGUACCUGGAGAAUAAGCUCCGGCUAACUCCGUGCCAGCAGCCGCGGUAAUACGGAGGGAGCUAGCGUUGUUCGGAAUUACUGGGCGUAAAGCGCACGUAGGCGGUUACUCAAGUCAGAGGUGAAAGCCCGGGGCUCAACCCCGGAACAGCCUUUGAAACUAGGUGACUGGAAUCUUGGAGAGGCGAGUGGAAUUCCGAGUGUAGAGGUGAAAUUCGUAGAUAUUCGGAAGAACACCAGUGGCGAAGGCGACUCGCUGGACAAGUAUGACGCUGAGGUGCGAAAGCGUGGGGAGCAAAACAGGAUUUAGAU
rnacentral:rRNA from 1 species